rnacentral:rRNA from 1 species
UACGGGGGGGGCAAGCGUUGUCCGGAAUUACUGGGCGUAAAGGGCGCGUAGGCGGCACGGCAAGUCGGGAGUGAAAGGCCUGGGCUCAACCGAGGAAUGGCUUUCGAGACUGCCGAGCUAGAGUGCGGAAGGGGCAACUGGAAUUCCCAGUGUAGCGGUGAAAUGCGUAGAUAUCCGGAGGAACACCGGUGGCGAAGGCGGCUUCCUGGACCGACACUGACGCUGAGGCGCGAAAGCUAGGGGAGCAAACGGG